rnacentral:rRNA from 1 species
GACGAACGCUGGCGGCGUGCUUAACACAUGCAAGUCGAACGGAAAGGCCCUGCUUUUGUGGGGUGCUCGAGUGGCGAACGGGUGAGUAACACGUGAGUAACCUGCCCUUGACUUUGGGAUAACUUCAGGAAACUGGGGCUAAUACCGGAUAGGAGCUCCUGCUGCAUGGUGGGGGUUGGAAAGUUUCGGCGGUUGGGGAUGGACUCGCGGGUUAUCAGCUUGUUGGUGGGGUAGUGGCUUACCAAGGCUUUGACGGGUAGCCGGCCUGAGAGGGUGACCGGCGACAUUGGGACUGAGAUACGGCCCAGAAUCGAACGGGAGGCAGCAGUGGGGAAUAUUGCACAAUGGGCGGAAGCCUGAUGCAGAAACGCCGCGUGCGGGAUGACGGCCUUCGGGUUGUAAACCGCUCUCGCCUGUGACGAAGCGUGAGUGACGGUAAUGGGUAAAGAAGCACCGGCUAACUACGUG